rnacentral:lncRNA from 1 species
GUGCAAAAGAUGGUCCAGAAUGUUGAUUUCAUGCUACCUUUAAUGCUUAUUACUGAACUCCACUGCUGUGAAAUCAGGGUAGACUGAGGCUGCGCUUCUUAAGUCAGUGAAAGGAAAUCUGAAAAUCUGGAGAGAGGAUCUGAGAUAGAAUAUGGAAAGCAAUUGUCAUGGUUAAGAGAUGGUCUCCUCAUCUUUCCAAAACCCAUAUCUGUAGACCCACAAGGACAACAGUGAAGGAAGUCUUUCUGGAGUCUUGGCUGCUCUCAAGGAAGAUGGCUUUUAAGUUUGCAGAUGACACGAAACAACAAGUAGAGCUCCGGACAGCAACAAGCCUCUCACUCCAAGACACAUCUGCUCAAUGGAGAAGGCAUGCAGUGAAAAGUGUGUCUCAUAUGUGCUUAUAUCCGGUGGGCUUAGUUAAAAUAAGUAGCUAG